AUGAACGCUGGCGGCGUGCCUAAUACAUGCAAGUCGAGCGAACGGACGAGAAGCUUGCUUCUCUGAUGUUAGCGGCGGACGGGUGAGUAACACGUGGAUAACCUACCUAUAAGACUGGGAUAACUUCGGGAAACCGUAGCUAAUACCGGAUAAUAUUUUGAACCGCAUGGUUCAAAAGUGAAAGACGGUCUUGCCGUCACUUAUAGAUGGAUCCGCGCUGCAUUAGCUAGUUGGUAAGGUAACGGCUUACCAAGGCAACGAUGCAUAGCCGACCUGAGAGGGUGAUCGGCCACACUGGAACUGAGACACGGUCCAGACUCCUACGGGAGGCAGCAGUAGGGAAUCUUCCGCAAUGGGCGAAAGCCUGACGGAGCAACGCCGCGUGAGUGAUGAAGGUCUUCGGAUCGUAAAACUCUGUUAUUAGGGAAGAACAUAUGUGUAAGUAACUGUGCACAUCUUGACGGUACCUAAUCAGAAAGCCGCGGCUAACUACGUG
rnacentral:rRNA from 1 species